rnacentral:rRNA from 1 species
UACGGAGGGUGCAAGCGUUGCUCGGAUUUACUGGGCGUAAAGCGUACGCAGACGGUGAGAAAGGUCGGAUGUGAAAGCCCCGGGCUCAACCCGGGAACUGCAUCCGAAACCAUCUCGCUAGAGUAUGGGAGAGGGAAGCGGAAUUCCUGGUGUAGAGGUGAAAUUCGUAGAUAUCAGGAGGAACAUCUGCGGCGAAGGCGGCUUCCUGGCCCAUUACUGACGUUCAGGUACGAAAGCGUGGGUAGCAAACAGG